UACAGAGGUGGCAAGCGUUGUUCGGAUUCACUGGGCGUAAAGGGUGCGUAGGUGGCUUGGUAAGUUCGAUGUGAAAUCUCCGGGCUUAACCCGGAAAUGGCAUUGAAUACUAUUGAGCUGGAGGUUUGGAGGGGGGACUGGAAUUCUCGGUGUAGCAGUGAAAUGCGUAGAUAUCGAGAGGAACACCAGUGGCGAAGGCGAGUCCCUGGACAACACCUGACACUGAGGCACGAAAGCUAGGGGAGCAAACAGG
rnacentral:rRNA from 1 species